rnacentral:tRNA from 1 species
AAGACACUAGUAUAGAGGAUAAUACACUGCUUUGUCAGGGCAGAGUCGUGGGUUUAACCCCCGCGUGUCUUA